UGAGGAAUAUUGGACAAUGGGUGAGAGCCUGAUCCAGCCAUCCCGCGUGAAGGACGACUGCCCUAUGGGUUGUAAACUUCUUUUAUACUGGGAUAAACCUACCCUCGUGAGGGUAGCUGAAGGUACAGUAUGAAUAAGCACCGGCUAACUCCGUGCCAGCAGCCGCGGUAAUACGGAGGGUGCAAGCGUUAUCCGGAUUUAUUGGGUUUAAAGGGUCCGUAGGCGGGCUCGUAAGUCAGUGGUGAAAUCUCAUAGCUUAACUAUGAAACUGCCAUUGAUACUGCGGGUCUUGAGUAAAGUAGAAGUGGCUGGAAUAAGUAGUGUAGCGGUGAAAUGCAUAGAUAUUACUUAGAACACCAAUUGCGAAGGCAGGUCACUAUGUUUUAACUGACGCUGAUGGGCGAAAGCGUGGGGAGCGAACAGGAUUAGAUACCCUGGUAGUCCACGCCGUAAACGAUGCUAACUCGUUUUUGGGUUUUUCGGAUUCAGAGACUAAGCGAAAGUGAUAAGUUAGCCACCUGGGGAGUACGUUCGCAAGAAUGAAACUCAAAUGAAUUGACGGGGUCAUAGCUGUUUUCCU
rnacentral:rRNA from 1 species